rnacentral:rRNA from 1 species
GAUGAACGCUAGCUACAGGCUUAACACAUGCAAGUCGAGGGGCAGCGGGAUUGAAGCUUGCUUCAAUUGCCGGCGACCGGCGCACGGGUGAGUAACGCGUAUCCAACCUUCCGCUUACUCGGGGAUAGCCUUUCGAAAGAAAGAUUAAUACCCGAUGGUAUCUUAAGCACGCAUGAGAUUAAGAUUAAAGAUUUAUCGGUAAGCGAUGGGGAUGCGUUCCAUUAGGCAGUUGGCGGGGUAACGGCCCACCAAACCUACGAUGGAUAGGGGUUCUGAGAGGAAGGUCCCCCACAUUGGAACUGAGACACGGUCCAAACUCCUACGGGAGGCAGCAGUGAGGAAUAUUGGUCAAUGGGCGAGAGCCUGAACCAGCCAAGUAGCGUGAAGGAUGACGGCCCUACGGGUUGUAAACUUCUUUUGUGCGGGAAUAAAGGAACCUACGUGUAGGUUUUUGCGUGUACCGUAACGAAUAAGCAUCGGCUAACUCCGUGCCAGCAGCCGCGGUAAUACGGAGGAUGCGAGCGUUAUCCGGAUUUAUUGGGUUUAAAGGGAGCGUAGACGGGUUUUUAAGUCAGCUGUGAAAGUUUGGGGCUCAACCUUAAAAUUGCAGUUGAAACUGGAGACCUUGAGUACGGUUGAGGCAGGCGGAAUUCGUGGUGUAGCGGUGAAAUGCUUAGAUAUCACGAAGAACCCCGAUUGCGAAGGCAGCCUGCUAAGCCGCCACUGACGUUGAGGCUCGAAAGUGCGGGUAUCAAACAGG